UGCUGACGAGUGGCGAACGGGUGAGUAAUGCUUGGGAAUCUGCCUGUUAGUGGGGGGUAACCCGGGGAAACUCGGGCUAAUACCGCAUACGCUCUACGGAGGAAAGCUGGGGACCGCAAGGCCUGGCGCUAACAGAUGAGCCCAAGUCGGAUUAGCUAGUUGGUAGGGUAACGGCCUACCAAGGCGACGAUCCGUAGCUGGUCUGAGAGGACGACCAGCCACACUGGGACUGAGACACGGCCCAGACUCCUACGGGAGGCAGCAGUGGGGAAUAUUGGACAAUGGGCGAAAGCCUGAUCCAGCGACGCCGCGUGGGUGAAGAAGGCCUGCGGGUUGUAAAGCCCUUUCGGUGGGGAAGAAAAGCUUCGACCUAAUACGUCGAGGUCUUGACGUAACCCACAGAAGAAGCACCGGCUAACUCUGUGCCAGCAGCCGCGGUAAUACAGAGGGUGCGAGCGUUAAUCGGAAUUACUGGGCGUAAAGCGCGCGUAGGCGGCUUUGCAAGUCGGGUGUGAAAUCCCUGGGCUUAACCUAGGAACUGCACUCGAGACUGCAUUGCUAGAGUAUGGUAGACGGAAGUGGAAUUUCCGGUGU
rnacentral:rRNA from 1 species